UCCCGACGGAGGCGCGUCGCCCGGGCCCCGCGAGGCCUGCUGCCCAGGCGGGGAGUUGGGGGCCCCCCGUGCGCACUCGGCUCGAGGUGAACGACCUGCCCCCCAAGCCCCAUCGGCCGGGUGGGGCAGCGCCGGCAGCCACCUGUUGGACGGAGGGUGACUGCCCCGUGCUCUCUUCCACGGGGACCAAACUGAAAAAACGGACGCUGCCGCCGUCCCUGCACCUUGAGUCUACGUGAACGACGCCAAGGUCGGGGCGGGGAGCCUGCCCAGGGCGGAGUUUUCUCCGGGUUUGAUAUUACAGACCCCGCGGCCCCGGCCCGGCCCGGCCCCUGAGCUCCCCGCCCACCCCGACCCCCGGCCUCGGCCUAGGCCUCGGCAACUGCUCCCCCUGCCCGUCCUCCUCCCCUCCGGGGCCGCCCCCGCCGGGCCCCGCGGACGGCCCGGGCUCCGCUCCCUGCAGGUUGCAGCCGAGCCUCUCGUACGCUGCGGGGAGCGGGCGGUCUCAGGCCCGGGCCGAGCGGGGAGCGCAGGUUUCAAAAUAAUUCUGAGUGAACCACAAGCUUCAUAAUCAACUCUGAGAUUAAAAAUAAUUUGAGGUACAGUCAUCUCUCCAUCUUUGGCAUUGAAAUAUAUACUUGAGAAACAUCGGUAUAGAAAAAAUAAAGUGAGGGACUGGAUGGAACUAGAGACAGAGCAGAGAAUGAGACAAAGAGGACUGAAGAUCUACUUUCAGGAACUCUAAUAUGUAAAGACGGAGAAAGGAGAAUGAAAAGAAACGGGAGCCAAGGAGACGGGAAGAAAAGCAGAGGAAUCAGGGAUCCCAUUGUGAAAAGAAUAGAAAGAUUUCAAGAAAAAAAAGUCUCAGAAGCAUAUAUGCAGGCUCCAUGGAAAGGAACAAAAGCUCCCACACGUUGCAGUGAGAAAUGUGGGAAGAUCCUGACAUGGAAUUGCUGUGGUGGGAAGAUGAAGGCGGAUUCUGACAAUGCUGGGGAUCAAGCAGAAGACGACGUGCCUGGCUCAUAAACCCCACUCACUGAUAAACAAGUUUGUGUGUUUCAACUCAGAACCCCUUCCUAAAAACUACAUAAGCCAGAUUUGGGGGUAAAAUUGGAGACAAGUGAUUCUAGUACAUUUAGCUACUCAUAAUUCAUUCACUCGUGGGAGAGCACAUGGUAUUGGAAAGGCCCUAAGACAUCAUCAGACUGUAAUUAUGUCUGCUGUCAUGUAAAUGAAGCAUGUAGUGACAACUAUUUUUUCCUCUUAAAAUCGUUUUAAUGAUAUAGUUGAAUUCAUUCUUUUUCUGAAGUGGCCCUAAUAGAUCUUCUUUUUGAAAAAUGUACAAAGUAAAAAAUUGUCAGAGGACCAAAUUAUUGUAUAUUUGGUUAUCUUUUUUCCAUGAGACACAGGUACUCAUAUCGACAGCUUUAUAUACCUGAACACAAUUGUGUCCUUUUAGCAUCCUAGAACAUUAGCGUGGAAAGGGUCUUAGAAGCCACACUUUCUCCAUUUGGAAGACCAAGGAACCGAGGCGGAAGGCGACGCUGUAAUUCCUGCAAGGUGGCACAGAGAGGCACAAUGAAACCUAAUGAAGACCCAGAUUUUCUAGUCUUCCAUCUCCCAGCCACGUGAAUCCCUCACGACCUCACUUGGUCUUGACUGUAAAGCACCCACCAUUUCCUCGGCGCUGUUAAGUCCCUCUAUCCAGGCCAGGUCACUUAAAAACUUCAUUUCCAUCGGCAAAUGACAUAUCAGCAUCCCAGGAAUUUUCGAGUUCAGGUAUCUGAGACCUCUUGCUCAGGAGGAGCCCGUCUAGCCGGUUAGUAGACGGUUCCAAGGGAACAGACGAUGUGCGGCGCGUGUGCGGCCGUCGGGGCGCCAGCCUGGUGGGCCUGGUGGGCCUGGUGGGCCUGGGCAGGGCCGGAACGGCAAGUCCCCGCACAAAAUUUACCUAGAGAGAAAGUCCCUUUAAGUGUAAGCCCUGAUGGAACUCCAGAACCUUCCACGAUGGAAGACUCUGGGAAAA
ensembl:lncRNA